rnacentral:rRNA from 1 species
UACAGAGGUCUCAAGCGUUGUUCGGAUUCAUUGGGCGUAAAGGGUGCGUAGGCGGCGCGGUAAGUCGGGUGUGAAAUCUCGGAGCUUAACUCCGAAACUGCAUUCGAUACUGCCGUGCUUGAGGACUGGAGAGGAGACUGGAAUUUACGGUGUAGCGGUGAAAUGCGUAGAUAUCGUAAGGAAGACCAGUGGCGAAGGCGGGUCUCUGGACAGUUCCUGACACUGAGGCACGAAGGCCAGGGGAGCAAACGGGG